rnacentral:rRNA from 1 species
GAUGAACGCUGGCGGCGUGCCUAAUACAUGCAAGUCGAGCGAACAGACGAGGAGCUUGCUCCUCUGACGUUAGCGGCGGACUGGUGAGUAACACGUGGAUAACCUACCUAUAAGACUGGGAUAACUUCGGGAAACCGGAGCUAAUACCGGAUAAUAUAUUGAACCGCAUGGUUCAAUAGUGAAAGACGGUUUUGCUGUCACUUAUAGAUGGAUCCGCGCCGCAUUAGCUAGUUGGUAAGGUAACGGCUUACCAAGGCAACGAUGCGUAGCCGACCUGAGAGGGUGAUCGGCCACACUGGAACUGAGACACGGUCCAGACUCCUACGGGAGGCAGCAGUAGGGAAUCUUCCGCAAUGGGCGAAAGCCUGACGGAGCAACGCCGCGUGAGUGAUGAAGGUCUUCGGAUCGUAAAACUCUGUUAUUAGGGAAGAGCAAAUGUGUAAGUAACUAUGCACGUCUUGACGGUACCUAAUCAGAAAGCCACGGCUAACUACGUG